UACGUAGGGCGCAAGCGUUAUCCGGAAUUAUUGGGCGUAAAGGGCGCGUAGGCGCCAUGCGUGUCUUCCGUGAAAUCCCUCGGCUUAACUGAGGACGUGCGGAAGAAACUGCAAGGCUCGAGUCCGGGAGAGGGGGGUGGAAUUCCCAGUGUAGCGGUGAAAUGCGUAGAUAUUGGGAGGAACACCGGUGGCGAAGGCGGCCCCCUGGACCGGUACUGACGCUGAGGCGCGAAAGCGUGGGUAGCAAACCGGG
rnacentral:rRNA from 1 species